UACGGGGGGGGCAAGCGUUGUUCGGAAUUACUGGGCGUAAAGCGCGCGCAGGCGGUUUCUUAAGUCUGAUGUGAAAGCCCCCGGCUCAACCGGGGAGGGUCAUUGGAAACUGGGAAACUUGAGUGCAGAAGAGGAAAGUGGAAUUCCAAGUGUAGCGGUGAAAUGCGUAGAGAUUUGGAGGAACACCAGUGGCGAAGGCGACUUUCUGGUCUGUAACUGACGCUGAGGCGCGAAAGCGUGGGGAGCAAACAGG
rnacentral:rRNA from 1 species